AAAAUGAGCUAAUCGCUGCAAAUGUAAAUUUGUAGAGGAAAGUCCACGCUCACACUUUCUGAAAUGAAAGUAGUGGUUUGUGUUAAAGGAAAAAAUAACUUUAAGUAACAUUUGUUAACGGCUGAUGAAAAACCUAAGUUUUAAUUUUUAUUAAAAUAUGGUUCUAAUCUAUAAAAGUGCCAUAGAGACGAGUAUUAAGGAAACUUAAGAAGUGGAACGUGGUAAACCCCGCAAGUGAGAAACCCAAAUUUGGUAGGGGAGUUUGCUUUCUAGAAUAACAAUAGAAAGCAGAACUGAAGUAAUUCAGUAGAUAAAUGAUUAGCACUUGUAUUGUUUUAUACAAGAUACAGAACGUGGCUUAUGAUU
rnacentral:RNase_P_RNA from 2 species